rnacentral:rRNA from 1 species
GACGAACCGUACGAACGUUAUUCGGAAUCACUGGGCUUAAAGGGUGCGUAGGCGGCGCUGAAAGUUGGGUGUGAAAUCCCUCGGCUCAACCGAGGAACUGCAUUCAAAACUACAGUGCUUGAGGGAGAUAGAGGUGAGCGGAACUUAGGGUGGAGCGGUGAAAUGCGUUGAUAUCCUAAGGAACACCCGUGGCGAAAGCGGCUCACUGGGUCUCUUCUGACGCUGAGGCACGAAAGCUAGGGGAGCGAACGGG